GACGAACGCUGGCGGCGUGCUUAACACAUGCAAGUCGAACGGAAAGGCCCUUCGGGGUACUCGAGUGGCAAACGGGUGAGUAACACGUGGGUGAUCUGCCCUGCACUUUGGGAUAAGCCUGGGAAACUGGGUCUAAUACCGAAUAGGACCACGCGCUUCAUGGUGUGUGGUGGAAAGCUUUUGCGGUGUGGGAUGGGCCCGCGGCCUAUCAGCUUGUUGGUGGGGUAAUGGCCUACCAAGGCGACGACGGGUAGCCGGCCUGAGAGGGUGACCGGCCACACUGGGACUGAGAUACGGCCCAGACUCCUACGGGAGGCAGCAGUGGGGAAUAUUGCACAAUGGGCGCAAGCCUGAUGCAGCGACGCCGCGUGAGGGAUGACGGCCUUCGGGUUGUAAACCUCUUUCAAUAGGGACGAAGCGCAAGUGACGGUACCUAUAGAAGAAGCACCGGCCAACUACGUG
rnacentral:rRNA from 1 species